rnacentral:lncRNA from 1 species
CUCGUCCACUGCUCCACAUCUAAGGUCUGAGCGCAAACGCGGGUGUGUAGGCGGCGGGGUUGGUGGGGGAGGGUGUUGGUGAUCGAGGGUCACGCGCAGGUGGCUUUGCAGCGGUGGCGGCGGCGGUGGCAGAGGCGACAAGGCUGGAGGAGGAGGAGGACGAGGGACGGCGGGCUUUCCGUCGCUGCGGAAGGGUCUCUGAGCAGUUCCUUCUUGUAAAUCUUACAGAAUUGCUUUGAAGAUGAGAUAAUGGUGCAGGUGUGGAGGAAGUGAGGAGGGUCCCCCUGGAAG